UACGGGGGGGGCAAGCGUUGUUCGGAAUUACUGGGCGUAAAGGGCUCGUAGGCGGCCAACUAAGUCGGACGUGAAAUCCCUCGGCUUAACCGGGGAACGGCGUCCGAUACUGGAUGGCUUGAGUUUGGGAGAGGGAUGCGGAAUUCCAGGUGUAGCGGUGAAAUGCGUAGAUAUCUGGAGGAACACCGGUGGCGAAGGCGGCAUCCUGGACCAACACUGACGCUGAGGAGCGAAAGCCAGGGGAGCAAACGGG
rnacentral:rRNA from 1 species